rnacentral:rRNA from 1 species
CCUACGGGAGACAGCAGUGGGGAAUAUUGGACAAUGGGGGAAACCCUUAUCCAGCGACGCCGCGUGAGGGAAGAAGGUUUUCGGAUUGUAAACCUCUGUCAGUGGGGACGAUAAUGACGGUACCCACGGAGGAAGCCACGGCUAACUACGUGCCAGCAGCCGCGGUAAUACGUAGGUGGCAAGCGUUAUCCGGAUUUACUGGGUGUAAAGGGAGCGUAGACGGCGAUGCAAGUCUGAAGUGAAAGGCGGGGGCCCAACCCCCGGACUGCUUUGGAAACUGUAUGGCUGGAGUGCAGGAGAGGUAAGUGGAAUUCCUAGUGUAGCGGUGAAAUGCGUAGAUAUUAGGAGGAACACCAGUGGCGAAGGCGGCUUACUGGACUGUAACUGACGUUGAGGCUCGAAAGCGUGGGGAGCAAACAGGAUUAGAUACCCUUGUAGUC